UACGUAUGGUGCAAGCGUUAUCCGGAUUUACUGGGCGUAAAGGGAGCGCAGGCGGUGCGCCAAGUCUGAUGUGAAACCCCGGGGCUCAACCUCGGGCAUGCAUUGGAAACUGGCGGGCUGGAGUGCCGGAGAGGUAAGCGGAAUUCCUAGUGUAGCGGUGAAAUGCGUAGAUAUUAGGAGGAACACCAGUGGCGAAGGCGGCUUACUGGACGGCAACUGACGCUGAGGCUCGAAAGCGUGGGGAGCAAACAGG
rnacentral:rRNA from 1 species